UAUAAAUCGUACUGCAAGAUUUCGUAUUUGCCAUUUAUAAUAUUUUUGGUUCACAACAACAAAAAUUGCUCUUCUAUAUAACAAUUGCUAUGUUAUAUUUAUAUAUUAUAAUGAAGCAGCUGAGCAAUCACAAUUUAUCCAGCCAAAUUUACGACCUAAUAAAUUAUCCGUCAAAUCGGCAAUUUCUGAAGAUCGUCAUAAAACUCGCAACAAAAUCAUUUUCAGUUGAACGCCCUUCGCGCCCUGUGACAUUUACCAUCUCGUUGAGUCUAAGGCUUAACCAGUGUCCAGUGUAUCUCACCGAUCGAGACAGACUUCGAGGUCAAGAUAUAUUGGGUGAGCUAAAACUUCGACUCGGCCGUCGUGACGGGAACUCGGCCCCAAGAGGAUCCCUGGGCCCUGGGUCGUCGCCCGACCAGCUGACUCCCCUCAGGGCAAGGACCCUUGUAAGUACUUUUGCGUAAGGUGUAAAUGGCGAUAUAAGGAAGUGUGUAGCUUGACAAUCUUGACUUAAUCCGUGUUACCAGGUGUUAUGAGCAGAAAUUCUAAUUGAGAUUUGAACUUGGAAUUAGAGAAAGUUCGAAAUUCAAGUAUAUUCUAUUAUUGA